UUCUCAUACUCGUCUGUUGGUUGCUUUUCCAUGUACUCUUCUAUUUCCUCUUGUUCCUUUUCAAUCUUAAAUGUCCGAGUCGGCUCCAAUUUAUUUGCACCUCCAAAUAGAAAGGUCUGUAUUUGCGCCGAAGAUGCGGGGUUUAAAUACUUGCCAUCAUCAAAAAAUUCAGCGGCCCAUUUUU
rnacentral:ribozyme from 12 species